UUCAGGUCUGGGGCUGAAACCU
rnacentral:miRNA from 1 species